rnacentral:lncRNA from 1 species
AAAGUUAUAUAGUAAAUGCUAUGUUUAUCUGGACACUCUGGACACUAACGAGUUUUAGUUGUUACCUUGCAUAGCCACAUACACUCACAUGGACAGAGGCAAUUCUCUGUGCAUUUCCCACAACAUAUGAUCAGUUCUGUUAGAAUUUUUUUUCAACCAUCCAAAAAGGAGGCAGAGAGGCUCCAUCUGAUGGCUUUGUUCUUAAUGUUCAAACCCUCUCUUAAAUAUCUAUUUGAGCAAAAGUCUUCGGGUGAUAAACGUAUUUGGAAAAAGUGUAUAAAACUCUGCAAAACCUAAUUUUGCAAUGAAAGGUCAACUCUGUCAUUUACUUAGCCUCUAUCCAUAAUUGGCUUCUGCUCGUUUAUUAUCACACUGCAUGACUGUACUAUAUAAAAUGCGUCUUUGACUGGCUUUAUAAACAUCACGUUCCAACAAAAACAGCAACAAAGAGUCAAAAAAAUGAGAAUGAUUAAGUAAAUAUUUGGUCAGUAAGGCUCUCUGAGACCCAAAUCAUUUUUUCCCAAUAAGUUCUUACGCUCAACCACCCAACCACAUCCCCACUUCUCCAUCAACCUUUAUGCCCAGAUGUUCUCUUCUAAAAGAGAGCCAAGCGUCACACUCCAUGUUGUCCAUUUUGAAUACUCGUCAGUGAGCACCAUGGGGUCAUCACAAAAAUAGUCCAGGUGUCCUUGCUGUCACUUGUCACCACCACCACCGAAAGUCCAGAUGAGCCCUGGAUUAGUCAACUUUUUUCAGCAUUUGCCUAGCACCACGUUGUGUCUACCUUUGGGGAAGGAGAAAGCAAUUCUAAUUCAGCCCCUCAGAUGUUGUUGGGCAAGUAAUACCUGGAUAGUUAGAAGGAGCUCACCCACAAAUAGAUUUUUUUUUAAUGAUUUUGUACAGGCACCGCCAUCAACUGCCUAUCAAAGCACGAAGAAUAGAUGUCAGUGACUAUUUUUAACGGGUUGGAGUCUAAAAGGCACCUCCUCUCCGUGUGACUUGCAUGGAUUUGGUUCUCGGUUAUGCAAUCCUUGGGGCAAACAUCCCCUUAGACAUGCUGAAGGGACAAGAUGGGAGAUGCUCAUUUCAGUUACCUUUGCCCAGGCUUUAUUUGUUCUGCAGAUGAUAAACUUUGGACUUCUUUACCCAACCAGUCAUCUUGCACAAACAGUAAACACCCUCAAAACUUUCUGUUCCCAUGGGACCCUUGAGAAAACAACAUGAAAAAAAAAAAAGCAUGAUUAAAAUCUACUUUCUUCGGUCAACAUCCUAAGAUUGAGCAAUUUCUCCACAUCUUAAAAGGGACUGUCCUGCGUCAGGUUGAGGGUUAGUAAACUACCUAUUGAUCAAUGAACUGAAAUCAGGAAUAACUGGAGUCAGAAUUCUGAGGUUGCAAAUACUUGUUCUGUAACCAUUUCCUGUUCUUCCAUGUAGCAGCGUGAGGGCCUCAUUCACAUUCAUUCUUUGUAAGCAGUGGUUUCUAACUUUUUAGAUCACGUCCCUCUGCCAAUAAAAAGAUCGUGAGGCAUAUCCAAACUGGGUAUUUUUACUUACAAGGUACACGUGUAUUUCAGUAUUGUGUGCCUCAAAAAAAUACACAUGCCAAAACAAACAAAAAAACCCUUAAGAUGAAAUUUAAAAUUAAAAUAAAGAGAAGAGUUAAUAUCUUCUCUUCAAAUAAAUAGAAGAUUUCUGCACGUCAAUGGAUCAUUUUGGAUUCUCCAUAGGGUAGGAUGUCCUACUUCUGAAUCCAGGGCUUUAAGACUGCGGUGAGCUACCUUUGUCCCAAAUUCAAUCGCCACCUUGCCCUCAUCAAAACCUGUUUUCCAGAAAAGAUCUGCUCUCAGUCAUCGUCAUUUUGUGUGAAAAAGGCCCAUUAUGAUGUUAAUGCUUCCAACUGGAUCUACCUUCUAAGUAGAAGCCUAAUUAUGAGAAGAAAACUUUAGUCCCUGUUAAUGUGAUUAUCAGGAAUGUCAAAAUAAUUCAUGAGAUUUGGAGAAUGGAAAAUGGUUCCUGGUGGCCCUGAUAUCUGGCAAGUUGGGAUGCUCCUGUCUAAGGGAGAGACAGGGGCAGCACCAAACGUUGUAUAUAAAAGGCUUUUAGCGACAGCAAAUUAGGUGGAAGAGGGAAGAGCAGGGAUGACACGAUGGUUAGGAGAUUUUCUUCCAGAGGCCAACCACACGUUUCAACUCAAAGUGUGUGUUCAUUUAGGGAGUCCAACUGGGGCACUAUUUAGACAUUAUACGGAAAGAGCUUAAAUCCUCCAAGCCAUGCUUGUAACUCUCUCACAAUCAAUAAAAACAAAACUUGAUAGUCACCCACAAGGUCAACAUGGAAAUUCAAAGGCUCGGUAGCCUCUAGUUGAAAAGUAAGACUUCUGUAAUUCCAGGGGGUGGGAAAAAUCACUUUUGCCUCAAAUAAUCAAUCACAAGUACUUGCAGACUCAAGUACUUAUGUUUCUCAUGGAUUUCUGAAAAGAAUUUUCCCGGAGGAAAGAUGAGCAACAAUCUAGAUUAUUGUCGUUUCUAUGAGUAUGAAGUUGAGGUGCUUUAAAAAUCUGAGCAGUCCAUUAAAAUACGUAUUUGAUCUAAAUCAUCAAGGUAUUUAUAAAGUAACCUACUUGAUUUUAACCUGUAAGGACAAGAGGCAACUGGAGCUUGGAACAUGUGGAUCAGUGUUGAGAGGUCUCUCCUGUGUGUACAUGUGUAUACAUGCUACAUACAUGUAUGUAUGUUUGUGUGUAGAGGGAAACACCUGCCAGUUUGCCAACCAGUUGGGGAAAGGAGGUGAAAAUGUUAUAAAGUGAUGUAAUGAAAUGUUAUAAAGUGAUGUAUCUAUCAGCAGACACAAAAUAACAACCUCACACAAAACACAUCAAAUACGUAUAUGCUGGCCCAAUGAAGAACAGGAUGUCAUUAAAAUCUAUUGUGAAUUUCCAGAUAAGUAGACAUAGGCAUUUCAGAUAGAUACAGAAAUAGGCAUGAGAAAUGGAAAGAAGUUUAAUUUAGUAACCAUACCCAGGGGACACAAGAUUCGCUAGUGUGAGAGAAACAUGCAUGGGGUGAAGUAGGAGCUACAAGGCCACUAAAACUUGAGUGAAGGGCGGUCAUAGGAGGAGACUUGCCACAUGACAGUGAUGCCACGGUUUAGUUUUGCUUGAACCUGUCUUGUCUUUAAGGCCAAGUACGUGUUAUUGUUGUCAUUUCACUCUACUGACUUUAUUUACUCUAAUAUCGCCUGUGAUGCCUGUUCACACUCCGUGCGAUGGCACUGAGACAUAUAUAACCUAGAAGGCCCAGUAUGGUACGAAUUUCACAGCAGGGAGCUUGACAAGGGUGCCCGGGAAUCCUGUGUUCUCUUGGACCUUUUCAGGUUUGGACCUUUGUCUCUGAAAUGUCAAGGUAUCGCUUGUGUCAUCAUGAGCCCCCUCCCCCAGCCCCUCAUAGCUGUUACCCUGCAUGGACACAAACUGUGCCAAAAACAAUAAGAUCUGAGAAUUGCUGAACAGCACCGAUUCUUCUGUCAACAUUCCUGUCCUGAAAUCUCCUUUUACUUAACGAACCUCAAUCACCUUCCUUUAACGACAAGAGAGAAGAAAACUGAGGCAAAUAACCCAUUCCUUUCCCCCAAAAGACAAUUCCCAGGAGGGAAGCUGAAAGAUCCCGCCCAGCCUAGUUUAUCAGGAGUGUCUGGGUGCCCCUCUUGCUCCGCAACUGUCACACAUUGCUUCAGCUGCAGGAGAUCAGAACUGCCCGAAGAACAGAAGCUCAUCAGAAGCAAAAUCUGACUUUUCAGCUUCUCUUCUAGGCCCUAUUACGAGUUUAAAAAGCUAGAUGCAGCCUCCUGGCUCAGCAGGAAGUCAAUAGGUUAAGCCACAGAUGAAUUUCCCAGUUUUGCUCAGACUAUGUUUUAAAAAAUACAGGGAUGAACCAGCUCAUCAAAUUGGUUAUCAAGCUAUAGAUUAGAGAACCACAAAUUUCAUUCAGUUUGGUGAUUGAAAAAGUCAAAAUGACCAGACCACAAAUGAUCAGAACAGCUGUUUUGCCAGUUUCAGAACCAAAUACACUUGAUAUUGAGAUUUACUGUGUAGCACUUGACUGUAAAAACCAUCACGUCAAACUAAAGAUAAUUAGGCUAGAUUUUAAUCUCCUCGGAGGCAGAGGCAGUGCCCGGUUUUUUCAGCUUUUCCCCAGCACCUAUCAGAGGGCCCGUCACACGGCAGGUGCCUGUGGUAGCCUGGAUUCAGAUGACCUCCAUGGGUUCUCUCCUUCCUUGAAGGCACAAGCCACUCCACUAUUGUGAGGCAGAAUCUAUUUCUCCAGCUCCUGGAAUCUGGGCUGGCUGGUGACUGCUUGGACAAACAGAAGAGAGACGUGAUCUGCACGGCAUCCACAGCCAGGUCCAAAAAAGCUCUGCAACUUCCACUUGGAUUUUUUUUAGAACACUUGUGCUAGAGAAAGCUGGUCACAAGGUAACAAGACCGAUGACCAAAACAACCAACAGGCUCUGAGGAUGCCCAAGCUAAACGUCGCAGACAGAAAGAGAUUCCUGAAAAGCCCAGCGACAGGCACAGAGUGAACGAACCUUUAGGUGACUCUAGCCUUUGCUACCACUGACCGGAACUGUACGAGGAACUCCAGCUGAGCCCAUCCACAUCAAGAACUAGACAUGAUGAUAAUAAAUUACGGCACUAAGUCACUAGGUUUUAGGGUAGCUUAUUAUACAGCAAUAGAUAACUGGAACAGUGUUCAAUGUUUAUUGAAUACAUAAAUUAAUUGAUAAAAGAAGCCACUAAGAAUAAAGGGUUCCCAAGUGAACCCAGGGAGAUCCAUUAAAUAAAUUAUUAAGGUGAUGUCAACAACGGUAGAGACUAUCAGAAAAUUGGACAACUCUGUGGAUAAUUAAGGCCAAGAGGAAAUCUGCUACAGAGGAGAGAAAGUAAUUUUUUUGAGAGUGGAAUUUUCCAGAUUCACUAACCAUCUUGACUGUAUUCAUUAGAUGAUUGCUCAAU